rnacentral:rRNA from 1 species
UACAGAGGGGGCAAGCGUUGUUCGGAAUUACUAGGCGUAAAGGGCCAGUAGGCGGCCAACUAAGUCACACGUGAAAUCCCCAGGCUUAACCUGGGAACUGCGUGUGAUACUGGAUGGCUUGAAUUCGGGAGAGGGAUGCAGAAUUCCAGGUGUAGCGGUGAAAUGCGUAGAUAUCUGGAGGAAUACCGGUGGCGAAGGCGGCAUCCUGGACCGACAUUGACGCUGAACGGCGAAAGCUAGGGGAGCAAACGGG